UGAGGAAUAUUGGUCAAUGGACGAGAGUCUGAACCAGCCAAGUAGCGUGCAGGAUGACGGCCCUAUGGGUUGUAAACUGCUUUUGUUUGGGAAUAAUCGACACUACGUGUAAUGUUUUGCAUGUACCAUUCGAAUAAGGACCGGCUAAUUCCGUGCCAGCAGCCGCGGUAAUACGGAAGGUCCGGGCGUUAUCCGGAUUUAUUGGGUUUAAAGGGAGUGUAGGCGGUUGGUUAUGCAUGUUGUGAAAUGUAGAUGCUCAACAUCUGACUUGCAGCGCGAACUGGCUGACUUGAGUACACACAACGUAGGCGGAAGUCAUGGUGGAGCGGUGAAAUGCUUAGAUAACAUGAAGAACUCCGAUUGCGGAGGCAGCUUACGGGAGUAUUACUGACGCUUAAGAUCGAAGGUGCGGGUAUCGAACAGG
rnacentral:rRNA from 1 species